GCACUGCCCGGUAGCUAAAUGCGGAAGAGAUAAGUGCUGAAAGCAUCUAAGCACGAAACUUGCCCCGAGAUGAGUUCUCCCUGACUCCUUGAGAGUCCUGAAGGAACGUUGAAGACGACAACGUUGAUAGGCCGGGUGUGUAAGCGCAGCGAUGCGUUGAGCUAACCGGUACUAAUGAACCGUGAGGCUUAACCUU
rnacentral:rRNA from 1 species